rnacentral:rRNA from 1 species
GCCAAAGGCGGCCAGGCAUCGGCGUGAAGACGAAGUGGGCAAGGGUUGGUUGGAGUCGCUGGGCGUACAGGGGGUGUAGGCGGUUUGAGUAGCCGGCUGUGAAAGCUUCGGGCCCAACCCGGAAAGCGCAGAGGGUACUGGCAGGCUAGAGGGUGGGAGAGGAGCGCGGAAUUCCCGGUGUAGCGGUGAAAGGCGUAGAGAUCGGGAGGAAGGCCGGUGGCGAAGGCGGCGCUCUGGAACACACCUGACGCUGAGACACGAAAGCGUGGGGAGCAAACAGGAUUAGAUACCCGAGUAGUC